rnacentral:rRNA from 1 species
CCCUUAGACGUUCUGGGCCGCACGCGCGCUACACUGACGAAGGCAACGAGCUUUCCUUUACCGAAAGGUACGGGUAAUCUUUUGAAACUUCGUCGUGCUGGGGAUAGAUCCUUGCAAUUUUUGAUCUUAAACGAGGAAUUCCUAGUAAGCACAAGUCAUCAACUUGCGUUGAUUACGUCCCUGCCCUUUGUACACACCGCCCGUCGCUACUACCGAUUGAAUGGUUUAGUGAGGCCUUCGGAUCCGCGACUCGUUUUGUGGAGAAGUUGGACAAACUCAGUCAUUUAGAGGAAGUAAAAGUCGUAACA